CCUACGGGUGGCAGCAGUGGGGAAUAUUGCACAAUGGGGGGAACCCUGAUGCAGCGACGCCGCGUGAGGGAAGAAGUAUUUCGGUAUUUAAAGCUCUAUCCACAGGGAAGAAAAUGACGGUACCUGACUAAGAAGCCCCGGCUAACUACGUUACAGCAGCCGCGGUAAUACGUAGGGGGCAAGCGUUAUCCGGAUUUACUGGGUGUAAAGGGAGCGUAGACGGUGAUGCAAGUCAGAAGUGAAAACCCCGGGCUCAACUCCGGGACUGCUGUUGAAACUGUGUGACUGGAGUGCAGGAGAGGCAAGCGGAAGUCCGGGUGUAGCGGUGAAAUGCGUAGAUAUCAGGAGGAACACCAGUGGCGAAGGCGGCUUACUGGACUGUAACUGACGUUGAGGCUCGAAAGCGUGGGGAGCAAACAGGAUUAGAUACCCCAGUAGUC
rnacentral:rRNA from 1 species